rnacentral:rRNA from 1 species
GAUGAACGCUAGCGACAGGCCUAACACAUGCAAGUCGAGGGGCAUCACGGGUAGCAAUACUUGGUGGCGACCGGCGCACGGGUGAGUAACGCGUAUGUAACCUGCCUGAAACAGGGGGAUAGCUCCCGGAAACGGGGAUUAAGACCGCAUAAGACCACGGGUUCGCAUGGACAAGUGGUAAAAUAUUUAUAGGUUUCAGAUGGGCAUGCGUGACAUUAGCUAGUUGGUGAGGUAACGGCUCACCAAGGCGACGAUGUCUAGGGGUUCUGAGAGGCAGGUCCCCCACACUGGUACUGGGACACGGACCAGACUCCUACGGGAGGCAGCAGUGAGGAAUAUUGGUCAAUGGGCGAGAGCCUGAACCAGCCAUGUCGCGUGCAGGAAGACGGCCCUAUGGGUUGUAAACUGCUUUUGUACGGGAAGAAAAAAGAUUACGUGUAAUCUAUCGACGGUACCGUACGAAUAAGGAUCGGCUAACUCCGUGCCAGCCGCCGCUGUAAAAC